UAGCCUGCCCACUGAUAAGAGUUAAAGGGCCGCGGUAUCCUGACCGUGCGAAGGUAGCAUAAUCAUUAGUCUUUUAAUUGAAGGCUUGAAUGAAUGGUUGGACAAAAAGCAAGCUGUCUCAGUUGAAUUAUUUGAAUUUAACUUUUAAGUGAAAAGGCUUAAAUGUACUAAAGGGACGAUAAGACCCUAUAAAGCUUUACAAUUAUUUGGCUAAUUUAUAAAUUGUUGGUUUAACUUAAGUGAGUCAAUGUUUGUUUCGUUGGGGCGACGAGAAUAAAAUUAAGUAACUGUUCUUUAAAAGUAAUUACAAAGUUAAUUGAUAAAUAAUUGGUCCUUUACUAAAGAUUAAAAGAUUAAGUUACUUUAGGGAUAACAGCGUAAUCUUCCUUAAGAGUCCAUAUCGACAGGAAGGGUUGCGACCUCGAUGUUGAAUUAAAGUAUCCUUGUGGUGUAGCAGUUGCAAAGGA
rnacentral:rRNA from 1 species